rnacentral:tmRNA from 1 species
GGGGGUGAAUGGGUUUCGACGGGGUCUUGGCGACCCGAAAGAGCAUGCCGCGGUCCCAUGCGUCCGCGUCAACAAAGCGUGGAAUCGAUAGUUGCCGAACCGCAACUCGCACUGGCUGCUUAAUUAAGUGGCCACGUCUCUCCCGGCUGGGCCGCUUCGGCUGGGAUGAGGCGCCAAAACGGAGCGGCUGGCCACGUCCGGCGGGCCGGUGGUCGGCGGGCGAGAAAGUAACCGGCGGGUCGCACCGAAGGUCCCGGAACGGGGGAUGCGGUACGAUGCACCCAAACCCGUUCUAAGCAUGUAGCGCUUUCGGCAAACCGGACUUCGGACGGGGGUUCGACUCCCCCCACCUCCACCA